UGACCGCUGGCGGCAGGCCUAACACAUGCAAGUCGAGCGGAUGAAGGGAGCUUGCUCCUGGAUUCAGCGGCGGACGGGUGAGUAAUGCCUAGGAAUCUGCCUGGUAGUGGGGGAUAACGUCCGGAAACGGGCGCUAAUACCGCAUACGUCCUGAGGGAGAAAGUGGGGGAUCUUCGGACCUCACGCUAUCAGAUGAGCCUAGGUCGGAUUAGCUAGUUGGUGGGGUAAAGGCCUACCAAGGCGACGAUCCGUAACUGGUCUGAGAGGAUGAUCAGUCACACUGGAACUGAGACACGGUCCAGACUCCUACGGGAGGCAGCAGUGGGGAAUAUUGGACAAUGGGCGAAAGCCUGAUCCAGCCAUGCCGCGUGUGUGAAGAAGGUCUUCGGAUUGUAAAGCACUUUAAGUUGGGAGGAAGGGCAGUAAGUUAAUACCUUGCUGUUUUGACGUUACCAACAGAAUAAGCACCGGCUAACUUCGCG
rnacentral:rRNA from 1 species